rnacentral:rRNA from 1 species
GACGAACGCUGGCGGCGUGCUUAACACAUGCAAGUCGAGCGAUGAAGUUCCUUCGGGAAUGGAUUAGCGGCGGACGGGUGAGUAACACGUGGGUAACCUGCCUCAUAGAGGGGAAUAGCCUUCCGAAAGGAAGAUUAAUACCGCAUAAGAUUGUAGUACCGCAUGGUAUAGCAAUUAAAGGAGUAAUCCGCUAUGAGAUGGACCCGCGUCGCAUUAGCUAGUUGGUGAGGUAACGGCUCACCAAGGCGACGAUGCGUAGCCGACCUGAGAGGGUGAUCGGCAACAUUGGGACUGAGACACGGCCCAGACUCCUACGGGAGGCAGCAGUGGGGAAUAUUGCACAAUGGGGGAAACCCUGAUGCAGCAACGCCGCGUGAGUGAUGACGGUCUUCGGAUUGUAAAGCUCUGUCUUCAGGGACGAUAAUGACGGUACCUGAGGAGGAAGCCACGGCUAACUACGUGCCAGCCGCCGCGGUAAGAC